rnacentral:tRNA from 1 species
GGGGAUUUAGCUCAGUGGUAGAGCGGUUGCCUAGCACGCACAAGGCCCUGGGUUCGGUCCCCAGCUCCG